UUUCCGUAGGUGAACCUGCGGAAGGAUCAUUGUCGAAACCUGCCCAGCAGAACGACCCGCGAACUUGUAUAAACAACCGGGGGCGGGGGGCGUUCUCGCCCCGUGCCCCCGAACGGCGGGGAGACACUCGUGCCUUCUUGCCGAACAACGAACCCCGGCGCGGUCUGCGCCAAGGAACUUCAACUAAAGAGUGCCUCCGGUCGCCUCGGAAACGGCGUGCGUGCCGGGGGCGAAUCUUGUGCAAAACCAUAACGACUCUCGGCAACGGAUAUCUCGGCUCUCGCAUCGAUUAAGAACGCAGC
rnacentral:misc_RNA from 1 species